AUGACGAGUGAUGCAAAGGCAACGAUCAAGCAGCAUGGAUGGGAAAGACCAAAGAACAUCUAUGUGAAGCUAAACGUGGAUGGGGCUUUUGACCCUGACUUACUCAAAGGCUCGUAUGGCGCUGUCAUCAUAGAGCCGAAUGACAAAUUCGUCGCGGCAGGAAACGAGGAAAUCGAUUUGUGCGGAGAUGCGCUUAUGGCCGAGGCACUGACCUUACGGUUUGGUCUUAAUUUGGCAACUACAGUCGGGUGUAAUCGCACAGAGGUGAACUCCGACAACAUCGAGGUGAUAGAAACAAAGGAGAAUGGAGAUCGCUCUUUUGGUCUAUCAGCGACAGUUUUUGAUGAUAUAUACCACCUUGCGUGUGAUUUCCCGCAUAUUAUUUUUGAGCAUGCUUCUCGAGAGACUAAGGGCGUGUUCGGUUCCUUGGGUCGCGCCUGCCUCGCACCCGAGAUGCAAUAUCAAGCGUGUUUGGUUCCCUGUGCGGUCUUCUCGGCCUGGCCCGACGGAUGCAAAAGAGGAGACCUCAUAUAUGACGCAUUUUGCGUCAAAUAG
rnacentral:rRNA from 1 species